AAUCCAUGGUGAGGACAUUCUCUGCGGUAGUCAUUAUAACGCUCCCAUGCGUCACAAAAAGGCUUAUGUCUGAAAGAGGUGAUCUUGUUCCUCAAUGC
rnacentral:snoRNA from 1 species